GAUGAAGAACGUAGCGAAAUGCGAUACUUGGUGUGAAUUGCAGAAUCCCGUGAACCAUCGAGUCUUUGAACGCAAGUUGCGCCCGAAGCCAUUAGGCCGAGGGCACGCCUGCCUGGGCGUCACACGUCGUUGCCCCCCCAUCUACUCCUUCGGGAUUGCGAGGGGCGGAUGAUGGCCUCCCGUGCGCCCCGUCGCGCGGUUGGCAUAAAUGCCAAGUCCUCGGCGACGCACGCCACGACAAUCGGUGGUUGCGAAACCUCGGUUGCCCGUCGUGUGCGGUCGUCGCGCAUCGAGGGCUCGAAAAAAUUGCCGGGCUCCGGCUCGGCUUUCAACGCGACCCCAGGUCAGGCGGGGUUACCCGCUGAAUUUAAGCAUAUCAAUAAGCGGAGGA
rnacentral:misc_RNA from 1 species